GAUGAACGCUGGCGGCGUGCCUAAUACAUGCAAGUCGAGCGAACAGAUGAGGAGCUUGCUCCUCUGACGUUAGCGGCGGACGGGUGAGUAACACGUGGAUAACCUACCUAUAAGACUGGGAUAACUUCGGGAAACCGGAGCUAAUACCGGAUAAUAUAUUGAACCGCAUGGUUCAAUAGUGAAAGACGGUUUUGCUGUCACUUAUAGAUGGAUCCGCGCCUCAUUAGCUAGUUGGUAAGGUAACGGCUUACCAAGGCGACGAUGCGUAGCCGACCUGAGAGGGUGAUCGGCCACACUGGAACUGAGACACGGUCCAGACUCCUACGGGAGGCAGCAGUAGGGAAUCUUCCGCAAUGGGCGAAAGCUUGACGGAGCAACGCCGCGUGAGUGAUGAAGGUCUUCGGAUCGUAAAACUCUGUUAUUAGGGAAGAACAAAUGUGUAAGUAACUAUGCACGUCUUGACGGUACCUAAUCAGAAAGCCACGGCUAACUACGUG
rnacentral:rRNA from 1 species